rnacentral:lncRNA from 1 species
CUCACAUAGAGAAAGCUUCACAUAAAUGAAGAAUAAACUCAAGUUUUAACAAAUCUUAAUUUAUUUAUCACAGUAAUUUAGUAAUGAAUUCAAUAUUAUUAUUCAACUAAGCUAUUAAUAUAUGACAAAGUAUUUAACAGGGAAAAAAUAUAAAUAAAUAAAUAAGCAAAGACACCGCCCUAACAGGUAACCUGCUGUAAUAAUACCAAGGAGCAAAUAAAUAAGACACUGCCCCUAAGAUACAGUUGUUGCUGGUAACCACCUUUGAUCAAUGCAAUCUCCUUUGCCUCUAAAAAUUUAAUAAUUAAGAUUCUGUAAAUAAAGAGGGAAAAAAAACAGAAUAAAAUGUUAGAUUUGGAAACAAUCAGGGAUUUCAAAAAACAUUCAUCAUCAGCAAAAACAAAAAAAAAACAAAAAAAAAGUCAGAAUUCUCUACACGAUAAAAUAAGAUAACGGACCUAAGCAAAUAUUUUAUUAUUAUCUAAGGCUAAAAAAUAUUGCUGAUAAAAAAAUUACACGUUAAUGGCCAUACACUCGGAUGACACAAAUCAAUAUUACUAAAGUCAUCAAAAAAAAAGAAAAAAAAAACCUUCUGAAACCCAUAAGAACCCAUAAAAUUCUUCAGAAUCACUAAUUCUGUGAAUCCAUAUAGUAUUUGAUAAAUUUAUGAGGCAUACAGUUGUGAUUUCCAUAAGAACGUCCCUCAAUCACCCUUUCACCCAUUCAAUUUAAAACCUUCCUCUUAGGCCUUAGCAAAGCUUAAAAAAGAAACUCACUUGAAAACAAACUCCAUAAUGAAAUAAUACUAAUAUUCUCUCAAUUAAUAUUUAACACAAAAAGUAUCGGCGGUGAUAUAUAACUGUUUUCAAAGCUAAACAAGCUCACUUAAAACUCACAAGACAUCCUUCAAAAACUCCCUCAUAAACCUCCACUCCUCCUCACCCUGUACCCACAAAACCAACUAAAGAUAACAAAACAAAACACAAAACUUCAGAAAGAAACUCCCUCAAAACAAAGCUACAGACUACCCUCACCACCACCAAAUAAAAACAGAGAGCUUUUACAAAUUUAUAAACAGAACAGAUCAACAGACAUUUCUCCAAGAUUUGCCCUUCAGCAUCUUGAGAACUCCAAAAUUGCUUUGCCUAAUUAAGGUCGGUCCCCUUGCAUACCUACAAAUCAGUGAAUCACAGUCGAAGGAGAGCUGCUUUCCAGCAGAAGGAAAGGAAGAAGCAAAAGCUUUAAAUUUCCCCUUUUGCUUGAAAUUGAACUUUCCCUAAAUCCCAUACUUUACUAUCUUGAUCUCUACUUAAAAUCUUGAACUUGACAUAAGAUCCAGCAUCCUCACUUCUUGUUUAUUUCCAUAUCUGCCCUCUUUAUUUGAUUAGGCCUCUCUUUUCCCAUUAAUUUCAGAUUGACCUCUUGACAUGCUCAUUCAGAAUUCCAUUUACCUUGUUAUUAUCAAAAAUGUUGUACAGAAUCCUCACUUCUCCUCUGUAUCAAUUUUNNNNNNNNNNNNNNNNNNNNNNNNNNNNNNNNNNNNNNNNNNNNNNNNNNNNNNNNNNNNNNNNNNNNNNNNNNNNNNNNNNNNNNNNNNNNNNNNNNNNCGAGAUAAUAAUCUCUAAAAAGUUACCUCCAAUCAUAAUCUCACUAAAAUCCCUAUAACUGCUAGCCAUGGAGCUUGAAUAUAAUUUGUUGGCCUCUUGCUUAACUAGUUAACUUCACCACAUAAGUGAAAAUCUGCCCAAGUCCUUUCCAAUCGUCUACUUGGUUUUACCAAUAAAUCUCCUCAUUCAGGCAUUGCAAAGCUUUCAUCCCCAUUUUUAAAUUCAAUAUAUAAUAGUCACAAGGCUAAACCUAAGGCACUUAGAUUAUACUCCCCCAUCUCCGGGGAAAAAUCCUACUUUGAUUUGGAAAGAUCAUGGAAUUUAAUGAAAUAAAAACUACAACCCCACCCCACCCCCAAAAAAAAUACAAAAAAUAAGAAAAUAAAAAAACACUAACCAAUGAAAAUGGGUGUGGAUUACAUAAUAUCAAAACUAACCGUACAAUAUAACCAGAUCCAAAACUGAAAGGCCCAAAUAACUACUGCUAUGCCCGGUAACUUCAAAUAGAAUUGUAGCUACAGCAUCCCAUGUCAAAGCAUCAUUAUGAGCUAUUGAGCUUACAUCAGAUUACAUACUCAUCAUCUUCAUCUUGUUCUGCAUCUCUUAAAAGGUAACAAUUCACUCAAGACAAGGGUGAAACAAGAAUGAUCAGAAAAAUUACAGUAAGUGUUUGAGAUGUCCCGUCUUGUGUGAGCAACAAAAUGAGGCGGAAAGAGGCAUUGAUAUACACUAUUAGCCAAUUAAAUGACCUGAAAAAACUCCGAAUAGGUUUCCA